AGAGUUUGAUCCUGGCUCAGGACGAACGCUGGCGGCAUGCCUAAUACAUGCAAGUCGAACGCUGAAGCACUCUGCUUGCAGAGUGCGGAUGAGUGGCGAACGGGUGAGUAACACGUGGGGAAUCUGCCUAGGAGUGGGGGAUAACAUUCGGAAACGGAUGCUAAUACCGCAUAUCUUCUUAGACCGCAUGGUCUAUGAAUGAAAGACGGCUUUGCUGUCGCUCUUAGAUGAUCCCGCGGCGUAUUAGUUAGUUGGUGGGGUAAAGGCCUACCAAGACAAUGAUACGUAGCCGACCUGAGAGGGUGAUCGGCCACACUGGGACUGAGACACGGCCCACACUCCUACGGGAGGCAGCAGUAGGGAAUCUUCCACAAUGGGCGAAAGCCUGAUGGAGCAAUGCCGCGUGAAUGAAGAAGGUCUUCGGAUCGUAAAGUUCUGUUAUUAAAGAAGAACAAGUCAAGGACUAACUGUCUUGACUUUGACGGUACCUAACCAGAAUGUCACGGCUAACUACGUGCCACCCGCCGCGGUAAUACGUAGGUGACAAGCGUUGCCCGGAAUUAUUGGGCGUAAAGGGAGCGCAGGCGGUUGGAAUAGUCUGAUGAGAACCCCCCCGGCUUAACCGGGGAAAGGCCUCGGUAAACUGUCCAACUUGAAUAACAAAAGAGGUAAGUGAGAUUCCAGGUGGAGCGGUGAAUUGCAAAUAAUUUGGGAAGGAACCGCCAGGGGCUGAAGGCAUCUUUCUUGGUCUUUUAAACUUGACGCUCAGGGUCGAAACGCGGGGUGA
rnacentral:rRNA from 1 species